UAUUUAAAAAAAAAAAAAGAAAAGAAAAAAUACACAGAAGAUUAGUAUGGCCCCUGUGCAAGGAUGAUAUCCAAAUCUGUGAAGUGUUCCUUUAAAAU
ensembl:snRNA U6 U6 spliceosomal RNA